rnacentral:snRNA from 1 species
AUCACUUUUCAGUCUUUUGCUAAGAUAAAGUGUAGUAUGUUUUCUUAUCAGUUUAAUAUCUGAUACAUCCUCUAUUUUAAGACAAUAUAUUAAAAGGAGUUUUGCAGGAGAGAAAUGAAAUAUGACCUUGAUUUAAACACUCCAUACACUCUUUGCAUUUGCCCUGGAAUUGCAGUAUCUCUGUUACAGAAAAUUUGAG